rnacentral:rRNA from 1 species
AAUGAUUUAAAGGUCGAACAGGCCUAAUAAUUGAACUUCUACACCCAAUCUUAUCCUUUAAUCCAACAUCGAGGUCGCAAUCUUCCUUGUCGAUUAGAAUUCUCAAAGAAAAUUACGCUGUUAUCCCUAAGGUAACUUAAUAUUUCAAUCACUAAUAAUGGAUCAAUAUUUCAUACAUCAAUAGUAGAAAUCUAUAUCAUUUAUAAAGCUCUAUAGGGUCUUCUUGUCCUCCAAUUACAUUUAAGCUUUUUAACUCGAAAAAUAAAUUCUACUUAUUAAAUUGUAGACAGUUAAUACCUCGUUAAACCAUUCAUUCCAGCCUCCAAUUAAAAUAGUAAUGAUUAUGCUACCACUGUACAGUCAAAAUACUGCAGCCCUUCAAUUUACAUUUCAAUGGGCAGGUCUGACCUUAUAUUAUCUUCAAAUGAACAUGUUUUUGUUAAACAAGGCGGG